GAUUAAAAACAAACAAAUAAAUCCCCUCUGAUUUUGGAAGCUAAGUAGGUUCUGGUCUGGUUAGUACUUGGAUGGGAGACCACCUAGGAAGACCAGGGAUUAUAAACU
rfam:Pteropus alecto contig72207, whole genome shotgun sequence.